UGACCUCAAAUCAGGUAGGACUACCCGCUGAACUUAAGCAUAUCAAUAAGCGGAGGAAAAGAAACUAACAAGGAUUCCCCUAGUAACUGCGAGUGAAGCGGGAAGAGCUCAAAUUUUGAAUCUGGCGGUCUUUGGCCGUCCGA
rnacentral:rRNA from 1 species